rnacentral:rRNA from 1 species
GAUCCUGGCUCAGGAUGAACGCUAGCUACAGGCUUAGCACAUGCAAGUCGAGGGGCAGCAUGGACCCAGCUUUGCUGGGUUUGAUGGCGACCGGCGCACGGGUGAGUAACGCGUAUCCAACCGUGCCCUUUACUCCGGGAUAGUCUCCUGAAAGGGAGUUUAAUACCGGAUGUGUUUGUCUUUCCGCAUGGGAGCGACAAAUAAAGAUUGAUUGGUAAAGGAUGGGGAUGCGUCCCAUUAGCUUG